rnacentral:rRNA from 1 species
GACGAACGCUGGCGGCGUGCUUAACACAUGCAAGUCGAACGGAAAGGCCCUGCUUUUGUGGGGUGCUCGAGUGGCGAACGGGUGAGUAACACGUGAGUAACCUGCCCUUGACUUUGGGAUAACUUCAUGAAACUGGGGCUAAUACCGGAUAGUAGCUCCUGCUGCAUGUUGGGGGUUGGAAAGUUUCGGCGGUUGGGGAUGGACUCGCGGCUUAUAAGCUUGUUGGUGGGGUGGUGGCUUACCACGGCUUUGACGGGUAGCCGGCCUGAGAGGGUGAGGGGCACCAUCGGGACUAGAUACGGCCCAGACUCCUACGGGAGGCAGAAGUGGGGAAUAUUGCACAAUGGGCGGAAGCCUGAUGCAGCAACGCCGCGUGCGGGAUGACGGCCUUCGGGUUGUAAACCGCUUUCGCCUGUGACGAAGCGUGAGUGACGGUAAUGGGUAAAGAAGCACCGGCUAACUACGUG